rnacentral:rRNA from 1 species
GUAGGGAAUAUUGGACAAUGGGGGCAACCCUGAUCCAGCGACGCCGCGUGAGUGAUGAAGGCCUUCGGGUCGUAAAGCUCUGUUGCAGGGGAAGAACACAAUGACGGUACCCUGCUAGAAAGGAUCGGCUAACUUCGUGCCAGCAGCCGCGGUAAGACGAGGGAUCCUAGCGUUGUUCGGAAUUAUUGGGCGUAAAGCGGGUGCAGGUGGCUUUGUAAGUCAGAUGUGAAAGCCUGGGGCUUAACCCCAGAAGUGCAUUUGAUACUGCUGAGCUUGAGUGCUGGAGAGGCUAUUAGAAUUCCUGGUGUAGUGGUGAAAUACGUAGAUAUCAGGAGGAAUACCGGAGGCGAAGGCGGAUAGCUGGCCAGACACUGACACUCAGACCCGAAAGCGUGGGGAUCAAACAGGAUUAGAAACCCGAGUAGUCC